UCUUUGCUAGUAUAUCGGAUAGUACAGCCGCCUGUCAUGGAUUUCCGGUGCGCGGCAGAGCUGGGUUCGACUCCCAGGCAGAGAG